rnacentral:rRNA from 1 species
GACGAACGCUGGCGGUAUGCUUAACACAUGCAAGUCGAACGAGAAGUUUUUUAUUGACCCUUCGGGGGAUAUAAGAGACAGACAGUGGCGAACGGGUGAGUAACGCGUGGGCAACCUACCUAUCGGAGCGGGAUAGCCUCGAGAAAUCGGGAGUAAAACCGCAUAACACAGCAGAAUCGCAUGACUUUGCUGUCAAAACUCCGGUGCCGAUAGAUGGGCCCGCGUCUGAUUAGCUAGUUGGUAAGGUAAGGGCUUACCAAGGCAACGAUCAGUAGCCGGUCUGAGAGGGCGAACGGCCACACUGGAACUGAGACACGGUCCAGACUCCUACGGGAGGCAGCAGUGGGGAAUAUUGCGCAAUGGGGGCAACCCUGACGCAGCAAUACCGCGUGAGUGAAGAAGGUUUUCGGAUCGUAAAGCUCUGUUAUUGGGGAAGAAACAGUGACGGUACCCAAUGAGAAAGUCCCGGCUAACUACGUGCCAGCAGCCGCGGUAAUACGUAGGGGACGAGCGUUGUCCGGAAUCACUGGGCGUAAAGGGCGCGUAGGCGGUUUUAUAAGUCAGAUGUGAAAGGUACCGGCUCAACCGGUGACGUGCAUUUGAAACUGUAAGACUUGAGUACUGAAGAGGCAAGCGGAAUUCCUAGUGUAGCGGUGAAAUGCGUAGAUAUUAGGAAGAACACCGGUGGCGAAGGCGGCUUGCUGGGCAGAUACUGACGCUGAGGUGCGAAAGCGUGGGGAGCGAACAGG